rnacentral:rRNA from 1 species
GAUAAACGCUGGCGGUGUGCUUUAUGCAUGCAAGUCGAACGGUUCCGAUUUAUCGGAAUAGUGGCGAACGGGUGAGUAACACGUAAGUAACCUGCCCCUAAGUGGAGAAUAACUUCGGGAAACUGAGGCUAAUACUGCAUGUGAUGGCGAGAGUAAUGUUUUGUCAUUAAAGCCUUCGGGCGCUUGGGGAGGGGCUUGCGUUCGAUUAGCUAGUUGGUAGGGUAACGGCCUACCAAGGCUACGAUCGAUAGCUGGUCUGAGAGGAUGAUCAGCCACACUGGGACUGAGACACGGCCCAGACUCCUACGGGAGGCAG